GUGUGUGUAAGUGUGAAAAAGUGUGUGUGUGAGCCGACAAAGCCCCGCCCCCACCUCUCCGUCGCCUGAACGAGGGAUGAAUAAAGACACAGGAGGAGGAAGAUGAGGAGGAGGACCGUGGACUACAGGACUACAGGAUCGGAUAUCUAAUCUAAUCUAAGCUGAACUGCUGCAUCGGAUUAUUAUCGUCACGGCAACGCCAGGCUCCGGAUCUCUACAGUACAACUGCAUGACCUUCUAGACUCCGCCUACUUACAGCAAUCAGCUCCAUAUACACUGUGUGUGUGUGUGCACGAGUGUGCGUGUGUGUGCACGAGUGUGUGUGUGUGUGUGUGUGCACGAGUGUGUGUGAGAGGGAGAGAGUGUGAUUAAAAAAAAACUACACAUUAACAAAUAACACACAAUUUUAAAAAAGCCCUUUUGUAGCUGGAAUGUGUUUUUCCCCCCAGAUUUUUUUUGGAUUUGCCGAAAUUUGGUUAAUUUUUCCGAAUUUUCGCAUGAUUAGACUGAGAUAGACUAGUUUCUCAGGAGUUUCUGGGUAAUUUUCUCUUUUAUGUUUUUUUUUUUAUCCUUUGUGAUUUUAUUCCCGUCCAGAACGAUCAUGUGUGUCUUUCUCAGACGUCCUCUGAGAUAAAAAAUUACAUUCUGAAUUAUCUACUGUUUUUCUCUGAACUCUUUUUCUUGGUCCUCCGGUAAUUUUAGUCCCGUCCGGACGCACAUCUCUGAGUUUCGUCUCCUCGCCUUUAAUAAAAUAGAUAUUUGUCCACUGCCGCGCACUGAGUUACUUUUAAACUUUGGCCGCGCCACGGUUUCCACUGAGAUCCACGUUAAAAAACAAAAACAGUGAGUGGAAAUGGAGGAGCUACUGAACUCGAUGAGUGAUGUCAUGUGACUGAGAAAAAAGCCUAAAAACUCACUGAUCCUCCUGUUUUUUUUUUAGUUGCAGUCCGGAUGCAGGAGUUUUAUCACUAAAGAGUAGAAGUGUGUAAUAUUUUUCCCGUCUGGAUAGGGCAAAAAAAUAUAUAAUAAUUUAGCUAGUCAUUUGCUUUAAUUUAGAAUUGUAGGCUAAUUUUGUGUGUUGGUGGAUUUCCCACCUUCUACAGUAGCUAAUGCUAAUGUAGCUAAAGUAGCAAAAGUCCUGGUUCUACACAGAUGUGCUUAUGUUAAUUUACAGUAAGCUUAGAUUUCCAAUAUUUUUUCCAAGGGUGGGCGCCAGCUGUGGUUAGCAAAUGCUUAGCUAGCCCCGGUUAGCAGCUCUAGCCAGCCGUAGUUAGCAACACUAUCACCAGCUGCGGUUAGUAGCACUAGCACUAGCUGCGGUUAACAGAGCUUAGACAGCCCUGGUUAGCAGCACUAUAGCACUAGCUGCAGUUAGCAGCAUUAGCACUAGCUGCAGUUAGCAGCGCUAGCACUAGCUGCAGUUAGCGCUAGUAAAUGCUGCCCGAUAGAGCUAGACUGAGGUUCCCUGAGUGUUCCGGUAACUGAGGGCACUAAUACGACAAAAACCCAAACUACAGUCUGAUAUACUCACCUCUGAACGUUAAAAGAGCUAGCGCUGCAGUUAGCGGCUUAUGCUAACGCUAAUGCUGCUGCACCCAGCCUUAGUUUUGAGGAUACUUCAAUGAAAACUCACCCUUAUAUCAAACUCUGUACUUCAGCAGAGGGGCUUUACUGCUCCUCAAUACCUGACUGGUAGAAUUCAUACAUUAUUAUAAGGCGCAUUAUAGAUUUUGGGGGAAAUUAAAGGAUUUUAAGUGCACCUUAUAGUGCGAAAAAUACGGUAGUUAUCUAAUUUGGCUAGCUAAAAUUUGGCGGAACCGCUAGUCUCAUUUUAAAUCUGUGGGAAAGCUAAUCCAGCUCCAGUUGGGCUAAAGCUAAAGCUACAAACAUCACUUGUGUAGUACACACUAGUACAAUCUUAUGAUGCUCAGAGUACACAACUCCCUCAGUGUGUGUGUGUGUGUGUGUGUGUGUGUUAGUGUGUGUGUGUGUGUGUGUUGCGCAUGGGGGAAGUGGAUUCAGAGACCAGCCCUGAUGCUUCUUACUUGGCGUUGUCGGCAGAAAAACCCGGAAACUCGCCGCCUCACCGCUAUCCUGCUGUUCCACAUACUCGGCUACUCUACUAUGCAUUUUAACAGCUGAUGCACACUAGCCAAUCAGACGAAGCCAUGGACGUCAGAGUCAGCUGACCACUGCUACAGACACUACGGGCAUUACAUGGCGAAGGCAUGCAUCUACGGUCCGACCGGUCGCGUCCCAAUCCUCCCUCUACAGCUGUUCUCUUCGGUACUUACGAACACACGUUUUUAAAGGGGUGCUAAUACUUAUGCCUUUCCUCAAUCCAUCCAUCCAUCCAUCCAUCCAUCAAUAUAUAUAUAAAUAUACAUACGAGUCGCUCAGAGCAUUCUAGAUUUCACGUUUCCUCGUUUCCUCAUGUCGUUCUGUUCUAGAUAAUGUUUAGUUGGGUACUAGUUGGGUUGCUGUGUGUUUGUGGAGAAUAGUGAGAAAGAGAGAAAUAGGGGAUUGUGGGAAAUGUAGGAAAUAGACAUGCUGAGAAAUCCAAUUUAAGAGAAGCUCAGGUGGUUUUUGACCAGUUGAAAAGUUGGACAUCCAGGUAAAAACAGACCUUAAAGUAGUAAGCGAGCUCUUGACCAGCAUAGUGAAUAAUGCAAUUGAUUUUGGACAUUUUGGAUGUCCAACUUGACCAAGAAGACCAAGCUGGUCUGCAUGAAAUCGCCUGGUUCACCAGGUUGGUCAUGUUGGUCGUCCAGCUUACUUAGGCUAGUAAGCCGUCUUGGACUUGUUGGUCAUGCUAGCCAUGCUAACCAACCAGACUGGUCAUCCAAGCUUGGUUGUACAAGUCAUGAUGGUUGUCUAGCUUGGUCAGAAUGGUGAUCUUGGUUGACCAGCUUGGUCACGCUAACCAACCACCCUGGUAAUGCUAGUUGCUAUCUUGGUAAACUAGCUUGGCACUAGUCAUGAAUGUUGUCCAACUUGGUCUAGCUGGUCUUAGUGGUUCUUUAGCUUGGUCAUAUUCUAGUUGACCAGCUUCGUCAACCAAUGCUAGUACUACAUCUUGGCACUAGUAAUGAUGGUUGUCCAUCUUGGUCAAGUUGUCCUUAUUGAGCUCGGUCAAACAUGUCAUUCUGAUUGACCAGCUUGGUAACAUUGGUCAUGCUAAUCAACCAGCUUGGUUAUGCUAGCUAACUAGCUAUCUUAUGCCGACCUACCACCAAACGAUUGAAGGUUUAAAUUAGUCUUUUUUCUUGUUCUGGAGUUUAGAUAAAUCCAACCGUGUUAAAUAUUAUCGUAAGUCUAUUAUCUAGCCCUGAUGCUUCUUACUUGGCGUUGUCGCGCAGAAAAACCCGGAAACUGGCCGCCUCACCGCUAUCCUGCUGUUCCACAUACUCGGCUACUCUACUAUGCAUUUUAACAGCUGAUGCACACUAGCCAAUCAGACGAAGCCAUGAACCUGACCAACCGCGCGUAAUAUUACGCAAAAUAAAAGUCUUGAGACUCGGCUCACGCAAAUAAUGACCUGAACAAUUUCUACAACCUUUUGGCAAACCUUUCAGUUUCUCCUUUUCCAAACUUUUGGGGUAUAAAUGAAAUCCAUGUCCACUUCCUGUAGCUCUUCUCUUAUUGGUUGUUGAAGUGUUUGCAUCACUAUUUGCGAGCCAAGACUUAAGAAUUACGAUAAUAUUAAAAACGAUUGAUUUUAUCUUAUUUUAAAGCCAGGGCUAACAUUUGGUGAGACUUUUGCCUGAUAUCACUUAACUAGACAAAAGUAGAGUGCUAGCAUAACUAGUUGGUGUUCGUAGAGACAAUUGGCCGUCUAACUUGGCUAUCUAGGUAUUUUUUUUAGUGAAGACAAAUAGGAAAUUAGCUUGCUCAUUGAAGUUUUAUAGGCAAGUGGCUAGCUAAUUUAGCUAGCACAUAUUUAAAGGUAUAAUAAACUAGCUAAUUUAGCUAGCUAAAGUUUUAAAAAAACAAAUAAGAUGGCAAAAAAUGUUUGUGGAUAAUUUUAGCUAGCUCUAAUUUGCUAUCUUUAUGAAAAUUAUCUUAAAAAAGAAUAAUAAUGUGUGGCCACACCUUGUUAAAAUGUGGGAAGAAGAUAAUUAAGUCCUGGUUCUACACAGUUUUCUCUCCUAUAAACUGUUUAUUUCGGUGAGUAAAAAGCUUUAGUUUAUUUACAACAAGCUUAGAUUUUCAACAUUUUGUCCAAGGGUGAGCGCUAGCCGCAGUUAGCAAGUGCUUAGUUAACCUGGGUUAGCAGCACUAGCACUAGCUGCAGUUAGCAGCGCCUAGCCAGACCUGGCUAGCAGCACUAGCACUAGCUGUGGUUAGCAGCUCUAGCAUUAACUACAGUCCGAUAUACUCACCUCUGAAUGGCUAAAGAAGCUAGCGCUACAGGUUAGCAGAUAAUGCUAAUACUAUUUCUGCUGCACCCGGUUGAUUUUACCAAAAAACGGUUGAUUUCAUCUGAUUUUAACACCAGGAUGAAAAAAAGGCUAAUUUACACCUUUAAUCCCAACCAACUUGCACUGAAUCAUCGAGAUGGCGCCAUCGCAAGUCCACUUGAUUUUAUUCCGACUCUGGAAAUGUUUUUGUUUGUGACAAAAAGUGAAAUCGCGUGAGAAUCGUUUGGUUUAUGGUCGGCAGUAAUUGAAAUUAGCUUGGUUUUAUCGUUUUUUUUUUAUAAUCCAGAUUGAUCACGUUGGUUAUGCUAGUCUUCUCGAUUGAUCACCUGGAUGGGUUUGCUGAUUGAUGGGUUAAGGGAUGGAUGUUCAUUGGUUCUUACUUUAGUACACAGGUAUGCACAGGUACGCAGGUGUGUGUAGGUACGCAGGUGUGUAUGUGUGUGGGUAUAGAAUAGGAUUUACCUCAGAUCUACUCAAACGUACACCAGUUACUCUCCAGAAUUCACUGUGAAACUUCAGGAAGCUCCGCCCCCCACGCAUGAUCUGACCCAAUGCGGUCGCACCGUAGGAAACGCUAGAUUAGGUAGACGUCAUUUCUUCAGUGUGGAUGUUGAACUGAUACAUAACAUUAAAGUGAUAGUUUGGCAACCAAUCAAAUGCUAACGUCGCUAACAAGCAGUGGAAGUCUAUGACCACCAAUUAGCGAGCCGUAAGCAUCACAGUCGACACAGAUUAUCCAGUUUUGUGAUAAAAAGACUUUAAUUUUAACACCAAUCUGCCUUUUUUCAGCCUACAGCAGUUUAGCCCCGCCCACUCACAGUGCUAUAACUGUGAGUUAUAAGGAGUGUUUCAUCCCAGGCUGCUUUCUGAAAGAGGCUUAGCCAAUCAGUGCUGAGCUCGUAAAAAUGCACAAGGAUAAUGUUUAGUAAAAUUUUCUCAGAUUUGUUUGUUAGAAAAAUAAAGCUAAAUAAAGACAAAGCUUUUUUAAACUACAAGUGGAAAGUGGGUGUGGCUUUAAAAAUAAUUGGUAUGGAAAUUAUCUAAAAAGAAAUGCAUGUAAUUUAGUGCAUACAGUCCAUAUUUGGCUAAAAAAAAGUGAAUAGAAUAUUCACGCUAAAGUUGCUAAUGUAAAAGUUUAUUAGCAACAUGCUAAUUGGUUUACACAAAAAUCUGUCCUCUGAUUGGUUGUAUAUAGAGGAGAACUCCGGUAGGAAAUGGACUUGGGAUGUAGUAAAACAUGAUGACGAGUACGAAAUAUAGCACUUUGGGCUAUUCCACAAACAUUUGUACCAUAUUUUUCGCAAUAUAAGUUGCACUGAAUUAUGGGACACUAGUAAAGAACAAUGGUCGCGCCAUGUUUUCCUUCUAAUUCAGAGUUUACAGUAAGCUUAGAUUUCCAGAUUUCCACUAAGGCUUGGUGCGGCAGCAUUAGCAGCUAACCGCUAACCACACUUAGCGCUUCUAAAUGCCAUCCGACAGUGCUACACUGAGGAACCCUGAGAGUUCCAGAAAGCCAUGGUAAUAUUAGAUAUUAGCUAGCGGUUUGUCACAUGUAGCUUGUUUUAACACAGUAAAUGCGUAGACUACAGUCUGUUAUACUCAUCUCUGAACGUAGUAAGAGCUAGCGCUUAGUGCGGUUAGCUGCUUAUGCUUAUGCUGCUCCAGCAGUGCUUGCCAAAUUUAGCAGCAGGCUACAGGAUGAUAAUACUCACCUCUGAUCAGUGAAAGAGUUAGAACUUAGCGCUUAGUGUGGUUAGCGGCUAAUGCUAAUGCUGCUCCAGCAGUGCUUGCCAAAGUUAGCAGCAGGCUACAUGAUGAUAAUACUCACCUCUGAAUGAAAAAAGAGCUAGCACUUAGUGCUUAGUGCUGUGGUUAGCUGCUAAUGCUAAUACUGCUCCAGCAGUGCUAGCCAAAGUUAGCAGCAGGCUACAGGAUGAUAAUACUCCUCACAUCUGAACGAUGAAAGAGCUAGUGCUUAGUGCUGUGGCUAGCGGCUAAUGCUAAUGCCUAUUUAACACCAGAAAGGGAGAAAAUUGAAUUUGUCUUUUUUUGAUUGAAUUUGAUGGAAGUUGCUGAAUUAUUGCUUUAAAAAAAUGUAUCGCUAGUUUAUCAUCUGCUGUAAACAGGUGUGUGUGUGUGUGUGUGUGUGUGUGUGUAGAACUAUUUAAGACAUUUCUGUUUUUGUACGAAACCUUAUCUAUGACGACUAUAUUCAGGCUACUCUUUGAUCUUUGAUAUGUAUUUGUAAAUGUUUUUGCUUUGCGGAGAGAAGCGUGAGCGGCAGCAGCUGGAGCCCGAACGAGCCUUCGACCUGCUAACGGAGUGUGUCCCUCAGUGUGGGAGAGAACUCAGGGGCCACACACACACACACACACACACAUGCUGUGGCCCUCGAACGUUUGGACGUUUUGAGACGUUUUCAGGCCCUGUUUGAACUACGAGCACAAAAAACGGAGAGUGAACACGGAAUUACGGAAAACGUGAUUCAGCGUGAAAAAACGGACGUUGGUGACGUAAAAACAACGCCUUGUACAUUCCCCCCGUCCCCCCGUCCACCUUUUCUGCUGAAUGUCCAUCCCUGUACACGUGCUGUGACUAUCGGUGUGUAAUACGAGAAUGGAACAAAAGACUUUUAACGGAAAAAAAGAUAAAAAAUGGCUUUCUUUAUAAAUUAUUAUUCCGAUUCUGACGUUUGUAAACUGCUGAGGCGAAGUCCUCCCUCCUCCCCCUUAAAAACCUGCUCUUUCAACACAGAUCAGACCAGAAAAAAGAAAGAAAUUAGGAAAGAAAGAGA